GGCUACAGCCAGACCACCCUGAACAAGCCCCAUCCCGUCUGAUCUCGGAAACUAAGCAGGGUCGGGCCUGGUCGGUACUUGGAUGUGAGGCCACCUAGGAAGACCAGGUGAUGUAGGCA
rnacentral:rRNA from 1 species